ACCGUACACAGUAAACACCUCAUUGUAUACAAAUGCCUUUCAGUUUUUUAUAUUUUAUAGUAUGUAAAUUAAGUCCAUCAAGGUAUUUUGCUUUAUCUGCAGAAAGUUUUGCCCAGCACUAGGCAUCAACAGACACAUACAAGCUUUUGAACAAAAGUUCCAUUUCCCCUCUAUUUGCUUUUAACCAUUCUUUCCCACAGAACCUAGCAGUUCAAUGUAGAAGUGAUAGUUACCACCGCUGACUUCAGCACCUAUACCCUUACCAAUCACCCAUUAAGUGAUAUAUAUUGUUUCAUUACAUUCUUACUUCACUCAGUCCAGAAAUGUUUGCUGGCCCACACUUCAUGCUUUGCAAUGAGGAAACAAUGGUGAGAAAGAAGACAAGAAUCCUUAUCCUGGUAGAGCAGACUCCAGUUCAGGCAGGAUAACAAUAAGUAAGAACCAAAAACUAUGGUAAGUUCCUCUAGGGUAAGUGAGGGGACAGUAUGCACACAGCAGAGAUACCUACUCUAGUUUAGAAAGGAAGGCCAAGAGAAGCAUCAAUCAUACAUAUUUAUCUAAAAGAUAAGUAGGAAUUAAACAAGUAAAAAGAUGAGGGAGUAGGAAAUACUGCAAAAGAGGGAAUAAAAAUGAACGGGAAGGCUCAGAAAGAGAAUCAGAGCCUUUCCAGGAACAGUGCACGGAGGUGCUGGGGACAGCUACCAGACCUGUUAGUGGCUGGAGAAGAGGGCAGAGACCCCACCACAAGGGGCCUUCUGAAUCACUAAUACUUGAGAAUCAGUUCAUGCCUGGAGGCCCUAUGCCCCGAGGCCUGGGCUGGCUGUUAUCAGGGGAGCAGAGCUGAAUCAAACCACCAGAAUUCCCAACCUUUGGCACACUUUCUGCCAGGGAGACUGAAAGACUGAACUGAGGCUGGUGGGGAAGUAAGUGUUUUUUAAAAUACAGAAUUAGAAUAUGUGGGCCAACAUAGCUUCACAAUCUCACCCAGGGGUGUGCCUGACAUUAGGGAGACAGGGCCAAACUUUAGGGUAAGAGAUGACACGAGAAGGAAGGGCUGCUUUGAAAUUCUCCAUCAGGGAUAUAUCCUGAUGUAAUUAUGGCUUACCCACUCGCACCAGCUCCCACCAGGGCAUACUGCUGCCCUGACUUCUAUGCAUUCAGCCUCAGUCUAGUUGCUGAAUCUUAAUUACUACAUUUUCUCAAAAGGCCUGCACUGCUGAUACAGAGGAACUUGGUAUAGGAGCCUUCUCAAAGCUGAUACAGGAAUAGAUAACCCUAACACCCUCAAUGCGGCUGGAAGCACCCUUUCCUGGAGUGAACAGUUAGAAACAAAUUUCCUGUUACAUGUUUAUCUGACUUAUACUGAUUUUAUUUGAAUAUUUCAAAGUACACACUCAAUAACUAGAUACUGAAAUGUCCUUUCAAACAUGAGUUUACAGAAACAUAAGUUAUUAAAGGCAGUAACCCUUAAGUCUAUUUUGGUAAAAAUUAAUUUUUUGUUAACUUUAGAUUUUCAAUAUUCAGAAUUCCAAUGAGGAAAAAAAAAAAAAAGGCUGAGGUACAAUAGCAAAUGUAUGCAGUUACAAAUCAAAAAAGCAUCUAGAGACUCUCAAAGGAUGGUUCCCAUGGAGCAUGAUGGAGGAUAAUGUGAGAAAAGGAAUGUAUAUAUGUCUAUGACUGGGUCACUUUGCUGUACAGCAGAAACUGACAGAACACUUAAACCAACUACAAUGGAAAAAAAUAAAAAUCAUUAAAAAAGAUAAAACAGAGAUGUUCUCAUUCCGUGGGCCUAGGGUGAGGUUCUAAUAUUAGCAUUUUUAUAAGUGCCACAGGAAAUGCUGGAGCUGACAAUCUAACCUCUAAACUCACCAUGACCUGGAAUCAAUAGUCCUUAAAACCAGUUCACAAUCCAGAGAAGGUAUAAAUUAAUACACUGGAGCACCAGGAAAAAAAAUUAGAGCUUCUAUUUAUAAUUAUUUCUCAUGCGAACCUUAUACAAUUUCUAAUAUACGUUUUAUAACAGUGUAUCUGUACAGUGUGUAAACAGACUGCAUUAUAGGAUCACAACCCUCUUAUGAGGAGGUUAUAAUUCUUAAAACACCAGAGGCCAUGGAGCACUUUUGCCCAGAAUUAUAAAUGAAUAAUACUCCAGUGUCCCAGGGGAAAUGGAAGAAAUAUAGAAUCUAAAGGAUAACACCUUGGUCAGGGGGCAACACAAUGUUCUAAGACACUCUACAGAGAACGGCAAGUCAUAAGGUGAAAAGACCCCCAAAUUACUUCCCAACCUGAGGGAAAGACAAUUGGGAUGCCCAUCUGUCUCAUGUGUAAAAUGAACAGAGUGAACUGCCUUUUCUCUUAAGGGUCCCCAGCACUAACACACCACAGGUUUAUGAAGCCCUUGUGAAGAGACACCCUAAGUAUGGUAAAGAUAGAUGGUACCUGUUAUACCUCACAAAUUCUAAGCAGAGUGACAAAAUCUAGAAAAUGUCUACAAUGUAGGCAUUGAGCCCAUCACUAGAAUCUUAAAGCAUUAGAGCUGCAAUAGCUUCAGGGCCCCCACAUUUUAUAGAAAGGGGAAAUGGCUCAAAGUGGAGACGGGUUCCAACCAAGGAGCCCCAGGCAGCUGGUGGCAAAGCCGCGUCUCCUGACUUUGGGAGCAUAGCCCUUCCGCUUCACCAGUCUCCCUCCUUUCUAAAAUAAAGAGACGUUUUAAGAUGCCAGAGGCCCAGCUUUCUGAAGAUAAAAAAUAAGUUCCAUUCAUUGUUCUCAAAUAUGAUUUAUGUUUGUAACCUUUAGAAAGGCGGGGGGGGGAUGUUCUGGGAUCUGUUUUGCCUCCCUCUGUUUCUUUUUUUAAAUUUUGGGGAGCUGGUGAAGGCAUAACCUUACACUGUUAGAAAAGAUAAUUUAAGAGCUUCUUAAAUAAGGAAGCCCAGGAGUGAUCACACUGUGAUUAUCUGGAGGCUGCCGAGAGACCAUUUGAGAGCUGAGGUCUUCUGGAACACCACAAAUCCCCAGCUGCCUCUAAGAGUGGGCACUUCCUUGAACUCCCUUGGAGACAGGCAGGGUCAGUCUUCUUCCUGCUUUGCUGCUGCACAUCUAAAACUCUGUCUAGUGUGAAUUUAAAACAAGAAGGCAAGAGCUUCAUCAUCUGUGCUAAGAACACCUCCGCCUUCCUACCAGCCUGGGAAUGCUGAGUGGGCACUGGGGGAGCCCAGCAGCACAAGUUUGGACUCAGGACAUGUACACCUAAUCUCUGCCCAGAGAACAGUUCCUCUAGAUCUAGGGAGUCUGAGGCUGAUUCUCAGGCACAUGGCAGUUUGUGAACCAUUGAUUUCUAGAAAAGACGGCAGGGACACCUGGCCUCUGGGUAAUACUCUUUCCUCCCCACCUACAACCAUCCCUAGGUCCCAUAAUGUCUCCCCCAAAGAGGUUACUUUUAUAGGGGCGGAGGUGGAGAGAGCAGUAUCCCAAAACUUGAGACUUAGCCACUCGUUCAUUUAAAGUGAAAAGAAUAAAUGAACUUACAUCUGUUACACUAAGCACUUCUCACACGUGAUUUCCACUGCAUCCUCUCAGUAAAACCCUCCACAUUCAGAUGCACCCUAGUUCGUUCAAAACUUCUAGGGCGAUCUGGACUCAAGCGUGGCUGAAGAAAUAUGUUUGCAAACAUAAAGAGUGUUAUCAGGACAAAUGAGAUCAUACAGACAGAAUCACACCAUCAAGGACAGGAAAAUAAUCAAGUACACUUAAUAUACUCUUAUUAGUGAAUGAUAUUCCUAAUUAUACAUGAAGGCCAAUCCCCCAUCCCCCCCAAAAAAGUUCUGCUAGGCAAUACUUCAUUGCCCUUGCUCAGUUACCAAUCUAUAGCUAAAAAUAAUAGAACUGCAUUUCUUUCCAACUACCCUAUAAAUCUGUCUGCACCAUCCCCACAAUUGUUCAAUUUAGUGAGGUUUGGCCAUAAAUGUUUUUCUUCUUCCAGAUCACACCACAAAAAUGCCUGAUUCUGGAAAAGACUGCAGGACUGCAGUUUCUUCUCUAUUUUCAAUUUUUGGUCCACUCCAUCUAUCUCCCAUUGGGUUAUAUCUUUUCCCUGCAUUGUCUACUGACUGUGGAGGAAGAGAAGACGUGGAACGGGAAUGGAAACCUUAGGGUUCCAGACCCUGGAAUGUGGAAAACAUCCACAGCAGCUCUGAAUGCUAACGCCUGAAGGGCCCUCUCAAAGUAGUGGAUGGACAUUUACAGCUUCAUAAACUUAUUGUUUAAUCAAGGUAACUCUGUGCAUGAACCCAAGCUCCAUGCAGUAAUUAUGUGGAGAGGAGAACAGGCAGGCCUGCUCCAAGAGCUAACUGGGUCCUGUUGAUAAUGAGCCAUGUAAAAGCACAGAACAGAAAAAUGAGGCCCUGUGUUCUGGUACUAGUCCUUCUGCCUCCAAUAACAAGUAAUGUAUACAUAUAUAACAUCUCCAAUCUCAUCAAGGAUGGAGAUGGAGAGCACUACUUCAGCAAUACUUUCAGUUCAAAACUAAUCUCCCAUCUCCCCUUCUCAAGACAACUGAAAUUUACACUCAGAAAUCUUUGUGUCCAACAGCUAGUCUCAAUUUUUGUUGUCACGACUCUCAUUCACUUCUUUUUUAUUGUACCUUGGACCAUUAAAAUAGCCCCCUAACUAUUCUAAUUCUGCAAAUGAUUUAUUUUGUGCAAAGGUGCAAGAAUAACGCUCUGAUGGACAUCUCUCACCAAGACCAAAACUGGAAGGUUUUCAGCCCAUAGCUCCUAAAAUCUGGAAUCAGGGCCCUCCAUGAUCCAGCCCAAUCGCCCUUUUCAAACUUUUUUCGUCUGUAUGAAUUUUCCACUGUAUGAUCAAAAAACUGGGAGCCAGUGGACCAAAUUCAUCUGCCAAUAUGUUUUAUUUACGAUGACUAAAAAUAACAACCAUAAUAACAGCAGCAUCACACUUAGAACUUCCCAUGUCCAGGCACUUUCUAAGCACUUCACAUCCAGUAAUCCCUUAAUCAUUGCAAUUCUGUGAGGCUGUCACUCUUACUACGUCCAUUUUAAAGAUGAAAGAAAUGAGAUUAAACAAGUGAAGGAGCCACCAUUUCAACUCAUAGAGAUGGGCUCCAAAGUCUGUAUUCUCAAGUACUGUACUGUAUUACCUUCUCUAAAGGGAUAGCUGGGUAGAUGAACAGGUAGGUCAAUAGAUGAAUGGAUGGGUAGGUACAUGGAUGGCACUAUUUUAUGAACUAUAUUAAGGUCUGUGCUUGUGAAUGCAUAGUCUCCAUGCCAAUGAGGGGAAAAAAUGAGCUCUCUCCUCAACUCUCCUAGUUUUUCUACCUGUAGCAAGAAAUAAAACCUUGAUACAUGGACCUUCCCCUGGGCUGCACAGAUGCACCUGCCCAAAGCACAGAAAAGGUCUUACAUAAUUGAGUGGCUUUAUCUGUAAUGUUACUAUCAAAAUAGCGACAUAAAAAAUAUAAGCUCCAAACAGACAAAUGCAAAGUGCCUAAUAAAGAGGAGAGGCUUCGAGGGAGAAAGAAUAAAUGAAGUAUAUGAACCGUGCAUAUUUAUAGCACCUGCAAAUUAACUUCCCAGAAACAGCAAUAAGCAGAUAAAGUACCAAGCCUCAGUGGAAUCAAGCACAAAAUGGAUGCAGCUGCAAGAACACAGAAACAUACACACUUUUACUUGCAAACAUCUGCCCCCAGUAUGCCCAGCAAUUCUCCUACAUCAUCCACACAGAAGCCCAGGAAAAAGAGGAAAAAUAUUGCCAUAUUCUUGCCUAACAUUGAUACCUUCCUACAAGACUGACCCCAAGUCACCUUCGAUUUGCUUUUAGAAAAGGAAAGGGGCACAGAAAAAAAGGCCAAGAGAACAAGUGUUAAGGGUGGCCCAAGCUUGACUGGAUGGUGUAAAGCAAAGAGCUUUGCUGAGAGUGCUGAGCAUGCCUUGUAUUACCUGCCUGACCUACUGGUACCUUGGGCAGCAACAAGUUCUUAGGCUUCAUUGCCCAUGUUACUAGGAGGUGAGAGAGGGUGCUGAGCACCGUGCAAAAACAUGCUGUCUCCCAAUUCCUUGGCACAACACUUUAAUCCAAUCCUACCUAAUUAGCAUAAUUUCCCCUCCCCACUCACUCCAGGAGUCCCAUGCUCCAAUCACACUCCACUGAGCAGCCUUCUCCAACUAGAGCUUUCACUUUGCUGCCUCCAGGCCUUUGUUCAUGCUUGGAACACCUUUCCAUUGUCUCUGCCUAUUCCUCAUCCCAAUGACAGCCUAUUUAUCUAUCCUUCUAUAUAAGUGGUUUUUAGCUUUGGCUGCAGAGGAAAAUCAUGUAGGGAGCCUUAAAAAAUUCUGAUGCCUGGGCUCAAACUCCAGAAAUUCUGAUCUGAUUGCUGUGGGGUAUGGCCUGGAUAUCAGGAUUUUUUUAAAAUGCUCCCAGGUGAUUCCAAAACACAGGCAAGGUUGAGAGCCACUACCCUGGACCAGUUUCCCAAAGAAACCUUUUGCCUAACUGGAAUGAACUGUUUCCAUCCUGACAUUCCUAGGGUGCUCUGUUUUGACUUCUCUCUUUAGAAGACCCUAUGAUGUGACGUGACAGCUAAGUCUGCUAUAGCUCUGUGUCAGCAUUAGAACACAGCCCCUUGGAUGAAAUGAAAGCUAGGAACUGUUUUACUUAUAUAUGCCAUUCCCCCUUGGCAAAACACUUCAGCCUCAGCAGCUACUCAAUAAAUGUCUGCUGAAUUUAAUUGAACUGCUGUUUUUAUAUACUUUGCCAAAAACAUGAAUAGUGCUAGAAUUUUCAAUGAGUUUCCAGUGGAAACAGAAACUACCAUAGGUCCUAGAAAGUGACAAGUUUACUGCUGGCAAUAGGCCACCUCUUCCCUAGCAAGCUCCCUCCUUUCUUAUUGGCGAUCCCUGAGGGUAGGUAAAGUUGCAAAGAAGCCCAGACCUCCUUACAUCCAGAGGAAAUGGAAUCUAUCAAAGCAGGCAUUUUCACCCAAGACAUGGUACCAAGGGACUUAAGAAGAGGACCGAACAAUAGGGCCACGUCCCACAGAGCAAAUUUCAACAGAACACAUUCGAUGGAACAGUCCUGCUCCUGGAGAGAGAGCCCUAAGGCAGUGAUUCUCAGAAUUAACUAUAAAUAAGAAUCUGAAGUGGUUGUUCAGAAUCCAGAUUCCUAGACCUCAAACUCUCCUACCUCUAACCUACUGAAAUGGAGUAUCUCUGGGUAGGGUGUUCUGAUGAAGCCUGGGAGUGCAGAGGUUCAACAAGCUCCCCAGAUGAGUCCAGUGCUAGGGACUGGUAGACUACACUUUUAUCAACAAUGGCCCACAGCAGUUCAGAUCCUCCAGGUACUUGGCCUUGUAAAUGCACAGACAAUCUAGGAGGAAAGGUUUGGGUUAGCAGGUAUAAUCUGCAGUGCCCGCAGCAACAGAAAUUAUUUGGGGGUGGGAGGUAUUAUAGGGGCAGGAUACCUUUACAGUAGAGUCUACUGUAAAGUUUAAAGAUGGUAAUAAAAAAAUAUUAUUGUAGGUAAUCAGUAAAUGGCUGACAAUAUAAUUAUCCCUUUUAAAACUCCCUACUAGGAUCAUUGUAUAUCUGAUGUUUCCUAGAAAUCAAGUAGAUGGAGAUAUCUUUAUUCUUAAAUCAUCUUCCCCUCUAUCUUCACAGUGAAGAAUGGCCCUGAGCAUAACUGCCCGUUCUUUACCACCCAGGAAUGUAUGGUAGCUGCCAUCACCUACGCCUUCCCCACCCUCUCACCCCACCAGGGCUCAGCCAAACCAAAGCGCCUGCAGGUAUACGCAAGCUCGCUAGCACAGCCAGCGCUCUAACCUACCUGUGGGAAACGAACCUGAGGUAAGUCUUUCCUGGACACUGGAAACUCAGCCUCAGGUAAGGUAUUUAGAACUCUGCAACUGCACUGCUUCUUGAAGGCCUGGAGAAGUUCCCAGGCCAGCCUAGAUCAGUUCAUUUCUAAAGAGAAAAGCCUGUAGUCACAUCUAAGUACCUGGGAAUUAAACCAUGAAAAGACCCAAACACAUCUUUACUUUGGCAGCUAUUCUACAACCUCCCUCCCUGACUCUCAUCAAUGAAGCAAACCAGCUCCUUCAAAUUCAAU
ensembl:lncRNA